UUCAACAUUUAGUGAAAUAUCACAAACCUAAUGAGUGAAUUAGCGAAUUGUUUCCCUUUGAAAUCAACACGCCAUUAUCGGUGGAUACAUGUCUGAAACUGGGUCAGAGAAUACAUGCAGUUAUUGCUCUGAAUAUACGCGGAUAUUUAAAGUGCAUGGCGGAUUUAAUAAUUGUUAUGGAUAACCUCCAGCAGUAAGAAAUAUAAAGGCUCACUGCAGUUUUGAGUGCUCAACAAAUAUUGACCCCAUACUAUGCUCAGCAAGUAGGGCCCUUGUAUUUCUGUGAAUCCUCAUGCAGUACAGUACUGUUGUUGGAAGAGGAGCAAACAGUGUGGUAUCUAUGGUCCACCAUCACUUCAAGCAUCAAGGCUAUGGAGAAAAGAAUGUUUCAUUACAUAUGGACAAUUCUAGUGGACAAAAUAAGAAAAGUGUUGUAAUAAGCUAUGGAAUGUGGCUUGUUAUGAUGGGUCUACAUGAUGACUUGGAGUACAACCUGAUUGAGGCCCGGCAUACAGAAUUCAGUCCUGAACAUGUUUAGAAUGUCUUCUGCAUGACCUGGUAUAGAUAGUAUUCUUGAAGGAUUAUAACUUUAACACAGAGACGGAGAUUAAUAUUUUUAGGCAGGGGGUUGGCAUGACAGGCAAAUUCACCAACCGUAUUACCAUUUCUGAGCUGGAUGCCAGUCGACAGUGGUACCUGUAUAAUGAAAUAGCGCCCCUUUGCAGCAACAGCAAUGUAUGCUCAAAACCAGCAGUGUCAAAGCCAUUAAAAUUGAGAACUCAAGUCAUUUAAAACGAAGAAUGAAUGGAAAAAAGUGUUUAACAUUUAAAGUAAUACAGAGAAAGAGCUCUGAAAUUUUGAUUAAUUUGAAAGUGUUUUUGAUUUUUUGAAGAUGUACAAGACCCAAAUUCCAUAUAUUUGAAAAAGAACAAAUGAUACAUAUAGUUUAUGUAAACAUUGAAUUAACAACUUUAUGGUGUCAACAGUACUAUGCAUUUGUUAAAUAUUGACUCACUAUAUACAUGUAAGGCUGAACACAGUAUAAAUGUGAAAUUCCUCUAAAACACUGGAAGAUUUUUCAACAAUAAUUGUAACAUAUAUGGUAGUAAUGUACAUUUUUUUCAUAACGACAGUUGGAUUAUACAGAUCUACGAAAAUUUUCUGCUGUAUUCAAACUGCAUGUAAUCAUUUCUGUCGGCAGUAUCAUGUUUAUUUUCCCUUUUCAUGAACAAUUAAUUUAACCUGUCUGAAAGCACAAUAUAUGUAUAAUUUGUAAAACAUACAUUGGAUUAUUGUGGAAACAAUUUAGUUUUUGUAUGCCUAAUUAUAUAUUAUUGCCGUUAGUAUCAUCUAACUCUUUUAAUAUGAUCAAGACAUUUAAUAAGGCAGUUUUCUUAAACUAUUACUGUGUGUUAAAUGAGAUUAUGUAGUAUUAUGUUUACGGAACUAAUUGCGUAACCAUGGAAACAUUUUUCUGUUGUUCUAUAUUAUGUCUUGAAAAAAACAUUGUUUGAAGAACACUUUUCAGUGGUGCAUUUUUUAAAAAUUUUACAAUUAAUGGUAAAUGCUGAAAGUGUUCUACAAUAACUUAGCAAAAACGUCAUUGUUGUCUCAUUGAAGCAUAUACUGCAACUCCAUUGUAACCAUAGCAACAGAAAUAUAUUGUAUUAUUUAUGAAUAAUGAUCUUCACAAACAAAUUACAUAUGUUAUUUUUCUAAAAGAAUGACCUAAAUUGGUUUUAUUCCAUAAAAAACAGACAUGGCAAAUAUUCUCAUUUUUAUCUCCGUUUCCAUGGCAACCAUAUUUUUUUGCCUCAAAUUAUAGGCGUUGCUUAGGGUUAUAUCUUAGCAUAUCUGAAUGUUAAUUAUACGUUCUGAUGUAAUUGUUAUAAGAGAUUUUCGUGUUUCCAUAAAGAAAAUCAAUCGGUUGCCAUGGCAACAGCACAAUUUCAAAUGAAUUAAAAUAUGAGAUUUUGCA